AAAAAAACAUGCUUCAAAACGAUAUAUCAUAAGCUGGGAGAAUCGGACACAAAGAUCCUGUCGUUGAGCCGUUUUCCCUCGUUUUAUGCGGGUACUUAUCAUGUUGUUGGUAGAUGAUAACCCUAGCGUCAUAGGUUUUCUCAAAAAUGGAUUCUCCUGAAAGCAAUCGCAUCCCUGCCAAGUCGUCACCAUCUCCGGCUGUCCAAGGAUCCCCUUUUUUCAAUUACAUUAGCAAUCUCUCUCCUAUAAGGUCCGCGAAGGCAGCAAGAUACGUACAUAGUUUUUCACAAACUAACUUUGCUAUCCCACCGCCGCCGGUGUUCACAUCACCCCGUAUAGAUCCGCAGCGAGAGACAAGUUUCAGAGGAGAAAUAGAUGCAGCAGGUUCUGACCUCUAUCGACAAAGUGAUACCCAUCUGAAGCCUGAGCCGAUUCAUUGCUUUCAAAAAGAAGAUCAGUCUUGCAGUCCUUCAGGAUGCAUUGAUGAAUAUCUGGCUGAUCUUGUGGAUAUGGAAGACACUACAAAAUCAUCUGAUCUGUGCGCACAAUCAAGGAAUGAUAAGCCCAUGAUCUUGGAACGGUUCACUAGUCACAAAGAUACCAUCAACAAAGACUACAAUCAUGUUGAUUCCCAUAUGUUUCUAGGCUCUUUUUCUGGAUCACAACAUCAUGAGAAAUUUUUGCCUCAGAGCAUUGAGACAUAUAAUGAUUUUGUUGAUAGUUCAAGGUCAGCUUUGAGAGUAGCAGCUAAGGUAAAAAUUAUAGUCUAUCAUCAUCAUUUGGAUAAUGGUAUCACCUGUGUUGGGUGGUUGUGUCAAAAUUUAUACCCCCCUAUACAGUGAAAGGUAGUGCUACAUUUUCCACUUGCUUUAUUUUACAUCGUUAUGGUCUCUAUGUGGUGCUGAAUUUUGAUUUAAAGUUCCUUGUUCUAAUACUUGUUACUUGGUUUGGUAAUGUUAGACUAAUCUUAUGGAUUAAAUCAAUGAUUUAAUAUUACUGCACAGAGUACUUGUUCUUAAGUUCUGUUCGAAACAACUUUUUAAUACGGUAAUACCUAUGUCCUUCAUUAUUUGAUUUAGUACAGAAACUUAUUCAGGUAAAUUUUCUUAAUUUUACUUGUGAAAGAAUCACUUUUUUUUUCUGUACCGUGUAACCACUGCCAAAAGGAAUCUUCUUCUUUUUCCUAAUUUUCAGAGUUUCUAACAAUAGAUAAGUUUUAUCUUCAAAUGUAUAGGAUGCUGAUCAGCAUCAACGUGGUAUACGAAGACAUCUUCAAUUUGGGGUGACAAUGUCCUGCAAGGAUACUGGCAAUGAGAAUCAUGAUACCAACAAUUUAAGCCUACCUGAAGGCCUUACACACUUUGGGAGUCUGGUUUCAUAUCACACUGAACCAAGUGGGAUCUCCAACAGUUGGGGGGCGGACAGUCGUGCCCAGACUGUAACUUUCCUGUCCUCCUCCUGCCCAUCUCAAUCUGUUAUACCAGCUGAAAAUUGUGGAAACCAUAAUAUAUCAGCUUGUACUCCAUCUGAUUUAGCAUUGCCUUCAAUUGGCGUCAUCAGAUCUGACUCAAUGGGCUUAGAUUCAAAUGCAAGCCAAAAGUUGGUUGACAAACUGCAUGCACGAGAGGAGAAGCUAAUAGCUGUUAG
rnacentral:misc_RNA from 1 species